rnacentral:rRNA from 1 species
CAGGUUGAAGUUGGGGUAAAACCCGAUGGAGGACCGAACCGACCCCCGUUGAAACGUUGGCGGAUGAGUUGUGGCUAGGGGUGAAAUUCCAAUCGAACCCGGAGAUAGCUGGUUCUCCCCGAAAUAGCUUUAGGGCUAGCGUUGUGAGAAGAGUUAUACGAAGGUAGAGCACUGAAUGGGUGAGGGCCGCACCUCGCGGUACCAAUCUCAAUCAAACUCCGAAUGUCGUAUAAUAUGCGCAGCAGUAAGACUAUGGGUGAUAAGGUCCAUGGUCAAAAGGGAAACAGCCCAGACCGCCAGUUAAGGUCCCAAAAUUAUGCUAAGUGGGAAAGGAGGUGGAGUCGCUUAAACAACUAGGAGGUUGGCUCAGAAGCAGCCAUCCUUUAAAGAGUGCGUAAUAGCUCACUAGUCGAGUGAUUCUGCGCCGAAAAUGUAUCGGGGCUAAGCAUAAUACCGAAGCUGCGGGAUUAGAUGAAGAAUCUAAUCGGUAGGGGAGCGUACUAAGUGCGUAGAAGGUUGACCGGAAGGGCAGCUGGAGCGCUUAGCAGUGAGUAUGCCGGUGUGAGUAGCGAUAAGAUGGGUGAGAAUCCCAUCCGUCGAAAGCCUAAGGUUUCCAGGGGUAAGGCUCGUCCUCCCUGGGUAAGUCGGGUCCUAAGGUGAGGCUGAGAAGCGUAGCUGAUGGACAUCAGGUUGAUAUUCCUGAACCACCAUAAAACUGAAGGAAUGACGGAGGAGGCUAAUCAGAGCUGAUUAAUGGAUUUCAGUUUAAGUACAAAGAGGGUUACGUAGGCAAAUCCGCGUAGCAAAACCUUGAAGUAUGAUGACGUAAGUCUGGUGAAGCCACACUUCCAAGAAAAGUUUCUAGGUGUAUUUUAUGGUGCCCGUACCGUAAACGGACACACGUAGGCGAGGAGAGAAUCCAAAGACGCGCGAGAUAAUUCUUGUUAAGGAACUCUGCAAAAUUACUCUGUAACUUCGGAAUAAAGAGGGCUCCCGUGAGGGAGACGCAGAAAAUAGGCCCAAGCGACUGUUUAACAAAAACAUAGGUUUCUGCUAAAGCGUAAGCUGAUGUAUAGGAGCUGACGCCUGCCCAGUGCUGGAAGGUUAAGAGGAGAAGUUAGUCGCAAGGCGAAGCUUUGAAUUGAAGCCCCAGUAAACGGCGGCCGUAACUAUAACGGUCCUAAGGUAGCGAAAUUCCUUGUCAGGUAAGUUCUGACCCGCACGAAAGGCGUAACGAUUUGGGCGCUGUCUCAACAAGAAACUCGGUGAAAUCAUAGUACCUGUGAAGAUGCAGGUUACCCGCGAUCAGACGGAAAGACCCCAUGGAGCUUCACUGCAACUUAAUAUUGAUAUUGGGUGUGUGAUGUACAGGAUAGGUGGGAGACAAAGAAGCGAGUACGCUAGUAUUCGUGGAGUCAACCUUGGGAUACCACCCCUCGCACAUUUAGUAUCUAACUAGUUUCCAUAAACUGGGAAUAGAACAGUGUUAGGUGGGCAGUUUGACUGGGGCGGUCGCCUCCCAAAGAGUAACGGAGGCGCCCAAAGGUUCCCUCAGAAUGGUUGGAAAUCAUUUAAAGAGUGCAAAGGCAGAAGGGAGCUUGACUGCGACACGGACAGGUCGAGCAGGAACGAAAGUUGGGCUUAGUGAACCGGCUGUGCUGAAUGGAAAGGCAGUCGAUCAACGGACAAAAGCUACCCUGGGGAUAACAGGCUGAUCUCCCCCAAGAGUUCACAUCGACGGGGAGGUUUGGCACCUCGAUGUCGGCUCGUCGCAUCCUGGGGCUGGAGAAGGUCCCAAGGGUUGGGCUGUUCGCCCAUUAAAGCGUCACGCGAGCUGGGUUCAGAACGUCGUGAGACAGUUCGGUCCCUAUCUGUCGUGGGCGUAGGAAAUUUGAAGGGAGUUGUCCCUAGUACGAGAGGACCAGGAUGAACGCACCGCUGGUGCACCAGUUGGCUUGCCAAGGCCACAGCUGGGUAGCUACGUGCGGCCGGGAUAAACGCUGAAAGCAUCUAAGCGUGAAGC